rnacentral:piRNA from 1 species
UGGGAGGUGAUCUUGGAAUAUAACUUUGA